GCGGAUGUGGCGGAACGGUAUACGCGAUAGGUUUAGGACCUAUUGUCCGUAAGGGCGUGGAGGUUCGAAUCCUCUCAUCCGCA
rnacentral:tRNA from 1 species